CCUACGGUGGGCAGCAGUGGGGAAUAUUGCACAAUGGGGGAAACUCUGACGCAGCCAUGCCGCGUGGGUGACGAAGGAUUUCGGAAUGUAAAGCCCUAUCAGCUGUGACGAUGAUGACAGUAGCUUAUAAAGAAGCCCCGGCUAACUACGUGCCAGCAGCCGCGGUAAUACGUAGGGGGCAAGCGUUUUCCGGAUUUACUGGGGGUAAAGGGAGCGUAGGUGGGAUGGCAAGCUUGUAGUGGAAUCCCGGGGCUUAACCCUGGGAAUUGCUUUUAUAACUGUCAGACUAGAAUGCAGGAGAGGAUGGCGGAAUACCUAGUGUAGAGGUGAAAUGCGUAGAUAUCGGGAAGAACACCAGUGGCGAAGGCGACCAUCUGGAUGGACACUGACGCUGAGGCUCGAAAGCAUGGGGAGCAAACAGGAUUAGAUACCCUAGUAGUC
rnacentral:rRNA from 1 species